CCUACGGGCGGCAGCAGUAGGGAAUCUUCCACAAUGGGCGAAAGCCUGAUGGAGCAACGCCGCGUGGGUGAAGAAGGUCUUCGGAUCGUAAAACCCUGUUGUUAGAGAAGAAAGUGCGUGAGAGUAACUGUUCACGUUUCGACGGUAUCUAACCAGAAAGCCAAGGCUAACUACGUGACAGCAGCCGCGGUAAGACGUAGGUGGCAAGCGUUAUCCGGAUUUAUUGGGGGUAAAGGGAACGCAGGCGGUCCUUUAAGUCUGAUGUGAAAGCCUUCGGCUUAACCGGAGUAGUGCAUUGGAAACUGGGAGACUUGAGUGCAGAAGAGGAGAGUGGAACUCCAUGUGUAGCGGUGAAAUGCGUAGAGAUAUGGAAGAACACCAGUGGCGAAAGCGGCUCUCUGGUCUGUAACUGACGCUGAGGUUCGAAAGCGUGGGUAGCAAACAGGAUUAGAUACCCCGGUAGUC
rnacentral:rRNA from 1 species